rnacentral:rRNA from 1 species
AAUAUUGCGCAAUGGAGGGAACUCUGACGCAGCGACGCCGCGUGAGCGAUGAAGGUCUNCGGAUCNUNAAGCUCUGUCCUUGGGGNAGAAGGGAGCCGUAAGGCUUCUUGACGGUACCCAUGGAGGAAGCCCCGGCGCAGUACGUUCCAGCAGCCGCGGUAAAACGUAGGGGGCAAGCGUUGUCCGGAAUUAUUGGGCGUAAAUGGGUCGUAGGCGGCACUUUAAGUCAGAUGUGUAAGCCCACGUCUUAACCGUGGGACUGCAUUUGAAACUUGUGGUCUUGGGUGUCGGAGAGGGCAGUGGAAUUCCCAGUGUAGCGGUGGAAUGCGUAGAUAUUGGGAGGAACACCAGUGGCGAAGGCGACUGCCUGGACGAUAACUGACGCUGAGGCACGAAAGCUAGGGGAGCAAAC